CACGUAGGGUGCAAGCGUUGUCCGGAAUCAUUGGGCGUAAAGAGCUCGUAGGCGGCUUAGUAAGUCGGGUGUGAAAACCCCAGGCUCAACCUGGGGACGCCACCCGAUACUGCUAUAGCUAGAGUCCAGUAGGGGAGUGUGGAAUUCCCAGUGUAGCGGUGAAAUGCGCAGAUAUUGGGAGGAACACCAGCGGCGAGGGCGGCACUCUGGGCUGGUACUGACGCUGAGGAGCGAAAGCGUGGGGAGCGAACAGG
rnacentral:rRNA from 1 species